ACCCCGCCCCGCCCCCGGGCAGCGUCGUGCGAGGUGCGGCAUGAGCCUUCUUGCUAGGAGCGGCGGCCUGGGGCCGCUGUGUGCGGCUGCUCGCGCGGUUCUUCCCUGUCUCUGGAGGGGGAAAUACUUCAGCUCCGGGAGAGAGCCGGCGGAAAACCAGGUGACACCAAUGCUGCGGCACCUUAUAUACAAAAUCAAGGCAACUGGUCCCAUCACUGUAGCCGAGUACAUGAAGGAGGUCUUGACCAACCCUGCCAAGGGAUAUUAUGUGUACCAUGACAUGCUAGGAGAAAAAGGAGAUUUCAUAACUUCACCGGAAAUAAGUCAGAUCUUUGGGGAGCUGCUAGGUAUAUGGUUCAUUAGUGAAUGGAUGGCCACUGGAAAAAAUGCAGCUUUCCAGCUUGUGGAAUUGGGCCCAGGAAGGGGUACCCUCACAGGAGAUAUUUUGAGGGUGUUCAGUCAGCUUGGAUCUGUGCUGAAAAACUGUGACAUUUCAAUACAUCUGGUAGAGGUGAGCGAAAAAUUGAGUGAGAUUCAAGCUUUAACACUGACGGAAGAGAAGAUCCCGCUAGAGCGGAGUGCUGGGUCCCCCGUACGUAUGAGAGGCGUUACUAAAGCUGGGAUUCCAAUCUUGUGGUACCGAGAUCUGCAGGAUGUUCCAAAAGGGUACAGCUUUUAUCUGGCACAUGAAUUUUUUGACGUUCUUCCUGUGCAUAAGUUUCAGAAAACACCCCAGGGGUGGCGAGAAGUACUCAUUGAUAUCGACCCACAAGUUUCUGAUAAGCUGCGGUUUGUUUUGGCGCCUGGUGUCACGCCAGCAGAAGUCUUCAUACAACGUGAUGAAAUGAGGGAUCACGUGGAAGUGUGUCCUGAGGCCGGUGUUAUCAUUCAGGAGCUUUCUCAGCGCAUCGCACUAACCGGAGGUGCAGCACUGAUCGCCGAUUAUGGUCAUGAGGGAACCAAGACAGACACCUUCAGGGGGUUUUGUGGCCACAAGCUUCAUGAUGUCCUGACUGCCCCUGGAACGGCGGACCUCACAGCCGAUGUGGACUUCAGUUAUCUGCGCAGAAUGGCAGGGGGACAAGUAGCUUCUCUCGGGCCAAUAAAACAACAGAUGUUUUUAAAAAAUAUGGGCAUUGAUGUCCGGCUGAAGGUUCUUUUAGACAAAUCAGAUGAGCCAGCCAGACAGCAGUUACUUCAGGGGUAUGAUAUGUUAAUGAAUCCUCAGAAGAUGGGAGAAAGAUUUAAUUUUUUUGCCUUGCUGCCUCAUCAGAGACUUCAUGGGAGAAGCCAUCCGAUGGAUGCGUGCCAGUCAAAGCCCUCUGUGUCACCCGUAGCUGGGUUUGGUGAACUUACCUGGCGGUGAUCUCAGUGUGGUCAUUUUACCCCUAAGUCUGCCUAAGAAAGCAAAAUAAAGGGAAUGUGUUUCAUAUAUCACAGGUCAUGGUCUCGGGGGUUGUGGGAUCUCCAGUCCCACGUCAGGCUCCAUACGCAGCGUGGAGUUUGCUUGGGAGUCUCCCUCUCCCUCUCUCAAAAUAAAUGACAACCUACAAACAACAGUUGUGCAGUAAAACAUCAGUACAUAAAAUGAAAUCCUUCCUUAUUGAAGUUAGCUCUUUGAUAAUUAAGGAUCUU